CACACCCACAGCCAGCAAUUCAGGCUCCCGGUUCUCAAAGUCUGUUACAACAGGAAAAUGUGCCCUGCAGGACACACCCAUCCUAGACGGUUUCCACAGAUAAACCCUCCACGGUCCCUCUUCGGCGAGGGACCAGUGUAUACCAGCCUAUGAAACGUAUACCAUUUUAUAAGGCAGGGAACAGACAGCCGUGGGACAUCCAGCCGCCGAUGCCCAGCUGGGAGCGAAAUGCACAAACCGGAAGGCGAGGCACGGGGAACGGCAGGGGACCUCCAUCUCCAAACAGAAAAAGCUGCAGACGGGUGCUCAGAUGCACGAGCUGCUCCCGGUUACGGGACACACAAGGCAACACGAACCAAGCGCUCAGGAACCUGGGGCUGGGGAAGCUGCUGGAACAUCGUUCAGAGAGGGGACGCGAACCCUCCCCAGCUCACCCCCACACCGGAGCACCCCUAGUGCCAGACCCUCCCUGCCUGGGGGCAGCCCCCCACCGAGGUGCCCGCGGCCUCAGGCAGCCCCCCACUUCGCAGCUGCGGGACUCUGGGCAAUGACUGGACCUCCUGGAGGAGGCAUCGCCGUCCGCCAACCGGGGCCGGACGCGGGAAGGGAGGAGACGGCGCAGGGCCGGCGCCCAAGCUGGGGCUCCGCGGCGUCGCCCACCCCGUCCUGGCACCGGCGGGGGCGGCUCAAGACGCACGACGCUCUGACCAGGACACGAACGCAGGAGUGAGCGGAAACUUGGCGGACGCGGGGAGGUGUGGUCACUGAGUGUCCAGCAUCCGUGUUCUGGGACCCUAGUGGCGGACCCGCAAAACCUGGGAACCUGCCUCCUCAAAGUACACGGAGGACAUCUGGGCGCCUCAGGCAUGAAGCGUCUGACUUCGGCUCAAGUCAUGGUCUCAGGGUCCGAGAGUCUGAGCCUGCUUCUCUC